rnacentral:rRNA from 1 species
UACGUAGGGUGCAAGCGUUAAUCGGAAUUACUGGGCGUAAAGCGUGCGCAGGCGGUUCUAUAAGACAGAUGUGAAAUCCCCGGGCUCAACCUGGGAACUGCAUUUGUGACUGUAGAGCUGGAGUACGGUAGAGGGGGAUGGAAUUCCGCGUGUAGCAGUGAAAUGCGUAGAUAUGCGGAGGAACACCGAUGGCGAAGGCAAUCCCCUGGACCUGUACUGACGCUCAUGCACGAAAGCGUGGGGAGCAAACAGG